UACGAAGGGUGCAAACGUUGCUCGGAAUUAUUGGGCGUAAAGCGCACGUAGGCGGCUUGGCAAGUCGGAUGUGAAAUCCCUCGGCUCAACCAAGGAAGUGCAUCCGAAACUGCUGAGCUUGAGUACGAAAGAGGAUCGCGGAAUUCCCGGUGUAGAGGUGAAAUUCGUAGAUAUGGGGAGGAACACCGGUGGCGAAGGCGGCCACCUGGACGGUAACUGACGCUGAGACGCGAAAGCGUGGGUAGCAAACAGG
rnacentral:rRNA from 1 species